AUGUGGCUCGACAACUACUCGGUUACACAUUAUCGUCCACAUAAAGUGGCCAACUCAUACGUGAAUGUGCGUUACACGGUCAAAUGUGAAGUGCCAACAUGUCCAUGGAUUGUGCGUGCAAGGCCAUGGAAAGGAGGUCCCACUUGGCGCAUAGUGAGUUGUCUACCAACUCACAUGUGCCGACACAAGAAUGCGGAUGGCAAGCUUGUGUACCAACAACAUAGACAACUCACGUCCGAGUUCAUUGCUUACAGGCUAUCCAACCAAAUAUCCACACUUCCAAUAAUGAGCAUCAAGAGUGUCAUUGACCUUGUGAAAGCCAUCUUUCAUUACAAGGUGAAGUACGGCAAGGCAUGGAAGGCGAAGCAAGCCGCAUUCAAGAUGUUGUAUGGCAAUUGGGAGGAAGCAUACAACCGACUCCCUAGGUUGUUGUUAGCUAUGGCCGCCACAAACCCAGGCAUGGUUCACGUGGUUGAGCCUCAUGGGCACCAAACAUUGAUUCAUAACGGGAGGACCGUCCGAGUAUUUGGCCGUGCAUUUUGGGCCUUUGAGCAAUGCGUGAGGGCUUUUGAGCAUUGUCGGCCCGUCAUCGCCAUUGAUGGCACGUUCUUGACCGGACACUACAAGGGCACUUUAUUGGUUGCAAUAGCAGGUGAUGCCAAUAAUCGGGUGUUGCCUUUGGCUUUCGCUUUGGUUGAGGUGGAGAACAAUGAUAACUGGGAGUGGGCAUGUGGUAUCAAGGAGUUGGCCAAUGAUCUUCAGGAUUGUUGUCUCGCUUUCACCAACAAGCGGUUUUCCACAUUGUUCAAUGCAUUGCUCAGACACAAGAAACUUGACCCCGGCGGUCAGGAGUUUCUCAAUAGGAACAUUGCCGAAAGGAAUAUGUGGGCACGUGCUUUCGAUGAAGAUGGCCGGAGGUACGGUCAAAUGACAAGCAAUAUGGCAGAAUGCUUCAAUAAGGUGCUCAAGGGUGUACGUGCAUUACCUGUGACGGCAAUAGUUCAAUACACAUUUGACAGGAUGAAUGAAUACUUUUUAAAGUACUCAAUGGAGACUGAUAAGCAGAUUGCUGACUCCAAAGAAGCUAUACUAUAUGACGACAACGAGUGGAAGUAUGAGGUGAAAGAGCCCGGAGGAACCACAAACGAUGGCCGCCAACACGGAGGCCGGGCUUCCAAGGUCUCCCUAACACGGUGUGAUUGCAGCUGCAUGAGGCCAUCGUUGCUUCAUCUCCCAUGCUCGCACUUGUUAAAUGCAUCCCGGGUUAGGAAUGUGGACGUCAAUCACCCUCUUACCGUGAGGGAGUCCGAGUUCUCAAUCAUGAUGGUAAAGAAUACGUGGACUCCACGGUUCCAGCCAUACUUGGACCAAUCACAAUGGCCGGAGUAUCAUGGAGUUCAACUAUGGCCGGACCCGGAAUUGAAGGUCGUUAGACGGGGAAGACGUAAGACAAAGCGUCUUAGAGGUGGCAUGGACGGAUGGGGCCGUGGUGGCGGUGGAGAAUACGGCACCGGCCAAUUCCAAGAGCCUCGUGAGCAAUCCCGUUGUGGGGGCUGCAGUCAUGGGGGACACAACACAAGAACUUGUCCCAAACCAAGAAAGAGAUCAAAGAAAAAUGGUGCAAGCACAAGCCAAGCAAAUGAUAGCCAACCAAGUGAACCAAGGGGUAGACAACCAAGUCAAACAAGUGGUGGAGUGCCAAACCACUCAAAUCAAACAAGCCAACGAGGAACUAGGCAACAAAGAGGGAGUCAACUUGGUCUUAGAAGAGGUCGUGGUGGUGGUAGAGGUCGUGGUGAUGGUCUUGGCCGUGGUCAAGGUCUUGGCCGUGGUGAUGGUCUUGGCCAUGGUGGUGGUAGAGGUCGUGGUGAUGGUGUUGGCCGUGGUGAAGGUCUUGGCCUGGUGAUGGUCUUGGUCGUGGUGGUGGUAGAGGUCGUGGUGAUGGUCUUGGUUGUGGUGCUGGUAGAGGCCGUGGUGGUGGUGGUGGUAGAGGCCGUGGACUACUAUUUCUGUGUAUGA
rnacentral:rRNA from 1 species